rnacentral:rRNA from 1 species
AUUGAACGCUGGCGGCAGGCUUAACACAUGCAAGUCGAGCGGGGAAAGGUAGCUUGCUACCUGACCUAGCGGCGGACGGGUGAGUAAUGCUUAGGAAUCUGCCUAUUAGUGGGGGACAACAUCUCGACAGGGAUGCUCAUACCGCAUACGUCCUACGGGAGAAAGCGGGGGACCUUCGGGCCUUGCGCUAAUAGAUGAGCCUAAGUCGGAUUAGCUAGUUGGUGGGGUAAAGGCCUACCAAGGCGACGAUCUGUAGCGGGUCUGAGAGGAUGAUCCGCCACACUGGGACUGAGACACGGCCCAGACUCCUACGGGAGGCAGCAGUGGGGAAUAUUGGACAAUGGGGGGAACCCUGAUCCGGCCAUGCCGCGUGUGUGAAGAAGGCCUUUUGGUUGUAAAGCACUUUAAGCGAGGAGGAGGCUACCGAGAUUAAUACUCUUGGAUAGUGGACGUUACUCGCAGAAUAAGCACCGGCUAACUCUGU